rnacentral:rRNA from 1 species
CCUACGGGAGGCUGCAGUGGGGAAUAUUGGACAAUGGGGGCAACCCUGAUCCAGCCAUGCCGCGUGUGUGAAGAAGGCCCUCGGGUUGUAAAGCACUUUCAGUGAGGAAGAACGCCUGGUGGUUAAUACCCAUCAGGAAAGACAUCACUCACAGAAGAAGCACCGGCUAACUCCGUGCCAGCAGCCGCGGUAAUACGGAGGGUGCGAGCGUUAAUCGGAAUUACUGGGCGUAAAGCGCGCGUAGGUGGCUUGAUAAGCCGGUUGUGAAAGCCCCGGGCUCAACCUGGGAACGGCAUCCGGAACUGUCAAGCUAGAGUGCAGGAGAGGAAGGUAGAAUUCCCGGUGUAGCGGUGAAAUGCGGAGAGAUCGGGAGGAAUACCAGUGGCGAAGGCGGCCUUCUGGACUGACACUGACACUGAGGUGCGAAAGCGUGGGUAGCAAACAGGAUUAGAUACCCUGGUAGUC